AGUCACGUCAGUUCUACUCUCACCAUCAUCGGCAACUUGCUCCCCCCUGUCUGCUCUGUCGUGGAGUGAGCCCUGUUCACCGCUAAAUCUACGACUAGCUAUUUGUAACGUGCGUUAGUACAGAUUUCCAUUACGAUACUGGACAAAGGGCCCUAUCAUCCAUGAAUUCCAAAUUGGUAUUCUUAUCCGCUAAACCUGAGAAAAUUCAUCAAGGAACACAGGCCAGCGACGCUAGGAGAAGCUGCUGUUCAACUUGCUGACAACUGGGCGUCCACUCGCAACGCCUACCCGAAGUCUCCUACUCUUCCAGUGAAGAACACGAAGCGGCCGUCUUCCGAGGAACCAUUCCCAGGAGUAGAGAAGAGUAGUUCACCGGCCUUGAUGUGCCACACCUGCGGAGAAGAAGGGCACAUUCGAUCUCGCUGUCCCAGGAAUUCCCGCGCCUUCAAAUCUACCGACAUUCAUCAGCCCAGCUACAAAGUCGGAUUCUGUUUGGAAGACAGGUGCUGUCCCCGUUAUUGUGUCACUGGAACGAUAAAUGGGUCUUGGGCAUCUACUAUCAUUAGGGACACUGGUUACUCGUGUAUUAUUGUCUCUGAGGAAGCCCUGCCUGACGCUGAUGUCUCCAGCUGCUCGAAGCAUAAGGGAGACUGUGACAUAUGGGGGCCUUGGUCCGGGAUUGUUCAUUGUGGAAUGUGGAUUAUGAAUAGUGAGGCAGUGUAACAAUACAACCAGAGAACCACCACCAGGAGUGACACUGGAUAAAUCGAGUACCACUGAUGGAAACCCAUUACCCCUGUGUCAGCAUCGUCUCUGGACAUAAGUUAGAACAUCACACACUGGCUGACAUACAUAAGAGAAAUCUUCCCAGACUCUCAAACACAGACGCACUUGUAAGG